GUGUCAUGCAAGAAGGAGGCGGCGGCGGCGGCGGCGGCCGGAGCUGGAGGGGGAGGAGGGGAGGAACCUGAUCCUCGGUAGCGAAGGGCUGGAGGCAAACACCGAGCUCCCCCUGAGUCGCCUGGGAGCAGGGAGGGUUCUGCUACCCUGAGGGGCCCUCCCCGCGGGGCAGAGGGGUUUCUUCAGCAGUGCCCCGGAGCAGGGACUGCGCCAGCCAGCAGAAACAGCUAGUUGUUGUCUGCAGUGAAGAAUAAUUGGAAGCAUGGUGCCUGUUUCUUUUCCUGUGGGAGGAAGUCACAGCAUCUACUUCUGAAUCUGUGCUUGCCUUGAGGAACAACGGCAUGACACAAGAAUGUGGACGCUUUCAACCAGAGGAUUCUGUACGACAGUGUCGGCACACAAGGAGUGUUCCACUGACUGACCUCUUUUUGUUUUCAAAUGAAGAGGAGCCAAGAAUAGGACAGCUUGGGAAGGUGAGCUGCGUAUAGCUCGUCAGGCUGAGCUCAUCUUCGUCUACGGCCAAACGUUGGUUUCUCAUUUCUAGAAGAUGAAAGAUGUGAUGACUCAGGAAAAACUGGAAUCUUAGUAACUGUGGUGGGCAUUGAGCCUUGCCAUCCACAAGAGAAAGCUUGCUGCUCGAGAUGUGAGUCUUCAGAUGUUCCUGCCGCCAUAUCUGACAGCUGCUGCCAAGAUUCCCUGGUGGGAUGGACUCUUAUACCUCGACAACCAGAAGCCCAAGUAAACUCUUCUAUAAAUUGAAUGACUCAUGCUU
rnacentral:lncRNA from 1 species